CCCCCCACAGGGCUCCUUAAGGAGGUGGAUUUGUAACCGAAAGGCCCAGAUUGGCUGAAGACUCAGGUUCUCAGCAGAAUGGUUAAGUGAUCAGAAAGUCUUCACAACUGAACUUUGUCAAGGUAUUACUGUAAAUCCUGUUCCAGUGUGCAUAUAAACGCCUGCGUCGGCGAGCAGACAAGUAGCUUCAGACAGCUGUCAGUGUAUUAUCGCAUCCUCCAGAGAUCUUGCUCACUCGGCUGUGCCCCGAACCUCCAUGUCUUUAGUGGGCAGAUCUGAUACCUAUAAGACAAACCAGUUCCUGUCUUGUUAAUACCGGUAAUCUCUUAGACACAGGGCGCAACCGUUCCACAGUGAGUAGAUUGGAAAGAAACACUGUCAGUAAAAGGGCCAGAGGAUCCACACUCACAGUUUGUAAAAUGAGAGAUAUGGCUAGGCCAUAUUGGGCAGAGCCUUGAUGUUCAGGGUCUCUGGAGGGAUGGGAAGGCUGUUGAGACUGGGCGGAGUGGGAGGGUCAAUUCUGGCUCCUCUUCAAGAGCUGAUGGGAACAAUAGAGAAGUAUUUCACACUUAGCAACGUUUGUGAUCAGUUUUAACAAGAGUGGGGUAUUCUUAGUAAUGAACCACUCCUGUAAGCCUUUUUAGACAUUUCAGAGGAGAUAAACAGAGCUGAAUACAAAUAAAGAAAUCUGAAGCCAGGCUGCAGAGAGAUUCUGCAGGAAGAUUAUCCCAAAUCCAGGAAUUAGAGGCUGGACAGGAACUCAUUAUCUGUCGAUCCAACCCUUCUGCUUCCCGAGGCUCCGCUGCAUCUCACUGGGGUACAGAAAUCUCCUCUUCUCUCCAGCUAUUUUCUAACAACUGAACAGUGAACAAGUACAUUUUCCCUCUUAUUUGAACACACGGCUCUAUAUUAAAUGACUGUUUGGAGAGUCACACCGGGGACUUGGGCAGCAAAAGUACCGCUCUUCCAGGGAGUUCGCCAUACUGUCAUUCAGAUAAAGGUGCCUUUUGGAAUAUUGCAAAGAAUUUCAAAACUUGAAUUUUAAUUACAUUUCUUUUGUGGAGAGCAGUCUUUGAGGAUUUGGCCUUUUGGGAUGGCUUCUGUUUCCGCACACCAUAGAAAACAAUUUUUAACAAACCGAGUCCUUCUCUGUGAUCUUUUAUUGUAUAUUAAUAGCUAUUUCUAUUUACUCAAAGCACUUUCUUUGUGCGUGUAUCACGUGUUGGCCAUUGUUCAAGACACAGGGGAUAUAGCAAUAAACUAAAGGAACAAUAAUCCCAGUCCUCGUGGAGUCAGAUAAUAAAUUGCGUGUAUAAAUCAUUAUAUGUUGUUACCAAAUAAACUGCUGCCUCACCCGUGUGCCAAGAGUCUAUGAAGAUUGACUCACAGACUUAGAGAGUACCUUAGAAGGGGUCUAUGAUGGAGAGAAACAGCCAAGGAGUGUAAUUUGGAAUGCUGGAUGGGCAUGAAGAGAGGUUUGUAUUUUAAACAGCUGGAGUAGGUCUCCUUGAGAAGAUGACAUUUGAACAAGCCCUGAAUGGGGGAUUUGGAACAGAGCUAAAUAAGAAGAGAUAGCACCGGGGUUGGGGCUUUAGCUCAGUGGUAGAGCGUUUGCCUAGCAAGCACAAAGCCCUGGGUUCUGUCCUCAGCUCUGAAAAAGAAGAAGAAGAGAUAGCAUCAAGGCCAAGGAACAGUAUGUGAAGGCCCUAGGCAGGAGUGUUUCUUCUCACCAUGGCAUGGGAAGCCUUAGGAGGUUUACUGCGAGGUGGUAUGAUUUAACAUACCUAAAUCAGACCACAGCCUCUGGCUUCUGGGUUGGAUAUGCAAAGCAGCAAAGCUAAAAGCAGAGAUUAUACAGUUAGGCUGUUUUGACAAUCCAGGUGAAAGCCUGCCGAAGAAUGGACUGGGAUUCUAGCAGCAGUAAUUGCACUAGGUUGGCCGUGGGGAGAUUGGAUUUUUUUUCUCAACUCUUAUGGUUCCAAAUAAUUUAGUUUAUUGUUUUGCUGCUAGACUGUAAGCAGUUAAAUUAAUAACCUGUAAAGCAACUCUUUAAAUACUCUGGCAAAACACAUUAUUUAAAGAAACCAUGUAAGCAAUUACUCAACAAUUUAAUUAAAUCUCCCCUGCAACAGUAGCAGGUUAGAUGCCAGGCUUAACGGAUCUGAUGGAAAACAACUGAAAAUGCCAGGAAAAUAUGUUUUUGAAUUU